rnacentral:rRNA from 1 species
GAUGAACGCUGGCGGCGUGCCUAAUACAUGCAAGUCGAGCGAACGGACGAGAAGCUUGCUUCUCUGGUGUUAGCGGCGGACGGGUGAGUAACACGUGGAUAACCUACCUAUAAGACUGGGAUAACUUCGGGAAACCGGAGCUAAUACCGGAUAAUAUUUUGAACCGCAUGGUUCAAAAGUGAAAGACGGUCUUGCUGUCACUUAUAGAUGGAUCCGCGCUGCAUUAGCUAGUUGGUAAGGUAACGGCUUACCAAGGCAACGAUGCAUAGACGACCUGAGAGGGUGAUCGGCCACACUGGAACUGAGACACGGUCCAGACUCCUACGGGAGGCAGCAGUAGGGAAUCUUCCGCAAUGGGCGAAAGCCUGACGGAGCAACGCCGCGUGAGUGAUGAAGGUCUUCGGAUCGUAAAACUCUGUUAUUAGGGAAGAACAUAUGUGUAAGUAACUGUGCACAUCUUGACGGUACCUAAUCAGAAAGCCACGGCUAACUACGUG